rnacentral:rRNA from 1 species
AGUGAACGCUGGCGGUAGGCCUAACACAUGCAAGUCGAACGGCAGCACGGUAAGAGCUUGCUCUUACGGGUGGCGAGUGGCGGACGGGUGAGGAAUACAUCGGAAUCUACUUUUUCGUGGGGGAUAACGUAGGGAAACUUACGCUAAUACCGCAUACGACCUACGGGUGAAAGCAGGGGAUCUUCGGACCUUGCGCGAUUGAAUGAGCCGAUGUCGGAUUAGCUAGUUGGCGGGGUAAAGGCCCACCAAGGCGACGAUCCGUAGCUGGUCUGAGAGGACGAUCAGCCACACUGGAACUGAGACACGGUCCAGACUCCUACGGGAGGCAGCAGUGGGGAAUAUUGGACAAUGGGCGCAAGCCUGAUCCAGCCAUACCGCGUGGGUGAAGAAGGCCUUCGGGUUGUAAAGCCCUUUUGUUGGGAAAGAAAAGCAGCAGGUUAAUACCCCGCUGUUCUGACGGUACCCAAAGAAUAAGCACCGGCUAACUUCGUG